rnacentral:lncRNA from 1 species
GUAUGAAAUGGUUUCUUCAGGAUACUCAUCUUUUUAUGUUUUAGAUAUUUUAUAUUUAAAUAUCUUGGUUUAAUGUGCAUAGAAAAACUGUAUCUAGUGGUUGUAUAAUUGACUUCAUACAUGUACGUACACACACACACACAUAGAGAGAGAGAGAGAGAAUAUUCAAAAGUAAUGAGAAUAUAACGUAGCUGCGAGUUAGUGUUGGUAGGGUUUUUCUUUUCGCCUAGAGGUGGGCAUGCCAGAAAGCUUAUAAGAAAUCUCGUGGCUUGAAAUAGAUGCAUGGGUGUGCCACCAGCAUUGGAUUAGUUGGAAAUAUUUUAAGAAUGAUCAAAGGAUGAUAAUGAAAGUAGCGUUGAUCCAAAUGCCUUGAUCUUUAAGGACUUUCGCUACCAUCAUAUCGCCGAUUCGAAAGAAGAUGGAGAGGGUAGGACAGGAUAUAGCGAGGGCUACAAUUAAAGUAAUCUACUAUUACUGCUAUUCCUAAAAGUAGA